CUUGCCACUGGGGGUUGUAUCAUUUUGCAUUCCCACCAGCAACAUACCAGACGGCCUGUUUGCCUACACAAUAGCCUCAUCCUUGGACCGUGUUGGCAUAAUUUUGGAUUUUGGCCUAUCUGAUAGGACCCUCUCAUUCAAUCCGGCUCCCCGUCCUUCCGCAGAGGGUGACGAGUCUAUGGCUCCAGCUCUCCUGGUACUUCAGGUGUUGGUCAGGCCCUCCCGGCAUGGACUUCACCCUUCCUGAUUGGGGAGGCUGGCUGGGAUUCCAUGAGCAGGGAGACAGUGGCUAUUUCCAGUCCUAAUUUCAUCCCCUCUCCCACAAUGGCUGUAGGUAUUUCCCUAAUGAGUGACCCAAACAGAAAACACGCCUUGCCAAAGCCAGCAUCCCAUUUUCCUAGAGUGUAGCCUUGCUGAAGGACUUUGACACAGAUUCUUGUAAAAGAGUUAUUCCCAGCCAGGUGUGGUGGCUUGUGUCCAUAAUCCCAGCACUCUGGGAGGCCGAGGAGAGAGAAUCGCUUGAGUCCAGGAGUUUAAUGCCAGCCUGGGCAACAUAGCAAGCCCUUGUCCUUCCUACAAAUAAUUAAAUAAUUAGCCAGGUGUGGUGGCUUGCACCUGUGGUCCCA
rnacentral:lncRNA from 1 species